AAUGAGUGAGAUCAUGUGAUAUUUAUCUUUCUCCAACUGGCUUAUUUCUAUCCUUAUUACUUUUUCAUGCAUAUUCAUAUAAACAGAUAUAAACGUUCUGGCAUGAAUGAGAUUACAGAAAUAUUACACAUAAAGCCUGGCGUCCUACUGUCAAUCGCUUUUUUAAAUUGAUCAGAUCUCUCUUAUCAGUGAAUGUAACCUUUGUCACCAGCAGUUUAGCAGAGCUCAGGACUUGAGUCAGAGACAUCGGUUCCAAAGGCAAAUAAAGAGAUCUUGUUAGACAACUUACAUCUUGAAGUAGAGAGAGAGGGAGAGUUAAAAAACACACUAACUUGCCCAAGGGUAUUUUGAUUUGCAAUGUUCAAAGGCAACCAGGCAGAUCCUGGUCCGUUUUGAGGCAACUUGUGUGAUCCCCUCAAGUUUCCCUAUAAAGUGAGAUCAGUCUUUAAUGCAGAGAAAUCGGCCACAAGUUGUGGGGCCUGACCCCUUGUCUAUUAGGACAACAUCACCUAUCGUUCCCAGCAUCGAAGGAAAGCCAUUCCCUUCGGCGUAUCAGCCUGAACCAGCAUGUAACGACCCAUUUUCACCCCCCCUCCCCCCACUCCCAAAGCCUCUAGAACUGCAGCUACGGGCCUGCACGUUUAUGGGCCCUGACCACUGAUCCCAGACACCCCUGGUUAUGAAAAGUGCUGCAGCUCCACAGCCCGAAAGGACCAGGUCAUGAAGAAGGCUCUCUUCUGAAAUAGAAAGGCCGGGCAGGAAAUGCCACCAGCCUUGGCUCAUCUCUGCUUAUAAUGAACCUGGCUUUGGCCACGCAGGCCUGAAAUGUCUCCGCAGUUGGCAAUGGUUACGCUUUGAGCCAGCUGACGGCUGUGCAAGAUCGAACAGUCCUGUCUGGUUUGGGAACCAGAAGAACGAGGCCGGCCCAGCUGGUCUGCCCUUCCGUGGCCUCGCCCAGAUGGCUCCCCUGGACCUCGAUAGCUAUUGCUUCAUGGAGGCAGCACGGAGGAUGCUCUGUCCAAAGAAGCACAGACACGCAAUGCCCCUUCCAUGGGCUCAGGCUCCUCACCUGUGAAAUGGUGGCCUCCAGGGCUAGUGAGAGGGUCCUCAUGGACAUGGAAUGAGAAAAUGACACGGAAUGUGCAGGAACGCCUGGUUGGAAGGUGCUGGUCUUUUUACUCUGAUCUCAGGCUUCAGGAAGGCCAGGACCACACCGCUUCGUUCACUGUCAAGUUCUCAGUGCCGAGAAGAUGCUCAGUGAAUAUUUUUGGGGUCACCUACAGCAGGGAGCGCAGCGCUGGAGAUGGCCUGGAGAAUCUGGAGGCCUCUGCGUUCUCGCCCUCAUCCCAAACCCCCGGGGCCCCCGGACUCCCCCAGGAUCCCCGCAGAAACAGCUGGUGCCAGACCCGAUGCCCGUGUCCGCGGAGAAGCCUGGCCCCGAGGCUC